CUAUUUUUUGUAAUCUUUUACUUAGUUUCUACAUUCAAAUUUCUGGCUAGUGAAUUAUUUUGUGGGCUAGUAACUUUCAGACAUAGCUAGCCAGACUGGUAGCAAAAUUUUGAAACCAUUUCGCACACUGAAUGGAUCAUGUUC